UCGGGAAUUUUGGGCAAUGGGCGCAAGCCUGAUCCAGCCAUGCCGCGUGAGUGAAGAAGGCCUUCGGGUUGUAAAGCUCUUUCGGUGAAGACGAAACGGUUAGUGUUAAUAACACUGACUAAUGACGGUACCCGCAGAAGAAGCCCCGGCUAACUCCGUGCCAGCAGCCGCGGUAAUACGGAGGGGGCUAGCGUUGUUCGGAAUUACUGGGCGUAAAGGGCGUGUAGGCGGUUUGCCAAGUCAGGCGUGAAAGCCCCGGGCUUAACCUGGGAACUGCGUUUGAGACUGGCAGGCUAGAGGUUGGAAGAGGAGAGUGGAAUUCCCAGUGUAGAGGUGAAAUUCGUAGAUAUUGGGAAGAACACCAGUGGCGAAGGCGGCUCUCUGGUCCAUACCUGACGCUGAGGCGCGAAAGCGUGGGGAGCAAA
rnacentral:rRNA from 1 species